UACGUAGGGGGCAAGCGUUGUCCGGAUUUAUUGGGCGUAAAGGGUGCGUAGGCGGUUUGGUAAGUCUUAUGUGAAAUCUACAGGCUCAACUUGUAGUCUGCAUGAGAAACUGCCGGGCUUGAGUAUGGGAGAGGUGAGUGGAAUUCCUGGUGUAGCGGUGAAAUGCGUAGAUAUCAGGAGGAACACCUGUGGCGAAAGCGGCUCACUGGACCAUAACUGACGCUGAUGCACGAAAGCUAGGGGAGCAAACAGG
rnacentral:rRNA from 1 species